rnacentral:rRNA from 1 species
UGAGGAACAUGACUUUCGGCGGGGGAUAGCCGGCCCAACGGCCGGGUAAUACCGCGUACGACCUUUUGGGGACAUCCCUGAGUGGUGAAAGCAGCAAUGCGCCGAUGGAGUGCCUCGCGGCCUAUCAGCUAGUUGGUGAGGUAACGGCUCACCAAGGCAACGAUGCGUAGCCGACCUGAGGAGGGUGAUCGGCCACAUUGGAGCUGAGACACGGUCCAGACCUCGUACGGGGA